rnacentral:rRNA from 1 species
UUAAAUUGAAGAGUUUGAUCAUGGCUCAGAUUGAACGCUGGCGGCAGGCCUAACACAUGCAAGUCGAACGGUAACAGGAAGCAGCUUGCUGCUUUGCUGACGAGUGGCGGACGGGUGAGUAAUGUCUGGGAAACUGCCCGAUGGAGGGGGAUAACUACUGGAAACGGUAGCUAAUACCGCAUAACGUCGCAAGACCAAAGAGGGGGACCUUAGGGCCUCUUGCCAUCGGAUGUGCCAGAUGGGAUUAGCUAGUAGGUGGGGUAAUGGCUCACCUAGGCGACGAUCCCUAGCUGGUCUGAGAGGAUGACCAGCNACACUGGAACUGAGACACGGUCCAGACUCCUACGGGAGGCAGCAGUGGGGAAUAUUGCACAAUGGGCGCAAGCCUGAUGCAGCCAUGCCGCGUGUAUGAAGAAGGCCUUCGGGUUGUAAAGUACUUUCAGCGGGGAGGAAGGGAGUAAAGUUAAUACCUUUGCUCAUUGACGUUACCCGCAGAAGAAGCACCGGCUAACUCCGUGCCAGCAGCCGCGGUAAUACGGAGGGUGCAAGCGUUAAUCGGAAUUACUGGGCGUAAAGCGCACGCAGGCGGUUUGUUAAGUCAGAUGUGAAAU